UACGGGGGGGGCAAGCGUUGUUCGGAAUUACUGGGCGUAAAGGGCUCGUAGGCGGCCAACUAAGUCAUACGUGAAAUCCCUCGGCUUAACCGGGGAACUGCGUCUGAUACUGGAUGGCUUGAGUUCGGGAGAGGGAUGCGGAAUUCCAGGUGUAGCGGUGGAAUGCGCAGAUAUCAGGAGGAACACCGAUGGCGAAGGCAGCUCGCUGGGACGGUACUGACGCUGAGGCGCGAAAGCGUGGGGAGCGAACAGG
rnacentral:rRNA from 1 species